rnacentral:lncRNA from 1 species
GUUUGGCGUGCAAUGGCUUGAGAUAGCUUCAAACUUGGACUGCCAUUGAUGAUGCCUCUUUAAAACAGUAGGAGGAAAGGAGCUUCCAGUUGGAGAGUGUUGCUAAAAACAGGUUCAAAAUGAUGAAUAGAUGUAGUAUAAAGCAAGGCCAAGCUCAGUUCUUUGUGAUUUUUUUUUUUGACUGUUUUGGAAAUGCAUAAAAUGAAGUGUUUUUUUUUUUUUUGAGUGAGAGCAUGAAUGAAUUCUGGUUUGAUGAUGCAGCUAGUAGUUUCCAAUGACAGAAAAUGAUCUCCCAAAAUUCUGUUGGAUGUACAAGGCAUGGUAUGGAAGUAUGGAGUGGAAAUGUCCUUUUGUUCCAAAAUUUAAGCAAGUUGGCAUGGCCUCUUGUUUUGC